CAACAGCUAGAGUUUGAUCCUGGCUCAGAUUGAACGCUGGCGGCAUGCCUUACACAUGCAAGUCGAACGGCAGCGGGCCUUCGGGGUGCCGGCGAGUGGCGAACGGGUGAGUAAUGCAUCGGAACGUACCCGGGAGAGGGGGAUAACCGGCCGAAAGGCUGGCUAAUACCGCAUGAACUCGGAAGAGCAAAGCGGGGACCUUCGGGCCUCGCGCUCUCGGAGCGGCCGAUGUCCGAUUAGGCUAGUUGGUGGGUAAGGGCCCACCAAGGCGACGAUCGGUAGCGGGUCUGAGAGGACGAUCCGCCACACUGGGACUGAGACACGGCCCAGACUCCUACGGGAGGCAGCAGUGGGGAAUCUUGGACAAUGGGCGCAAGCCUGAUCCAGCAAUGCCGCGUGGGUGAAGAAGGCCUUCGGGUUGUAAAGCCCUUUCGGCGGGGAAGAAAUCGGUCAGGCGAACAGUCUGGCUGGAUGACGGUACCCGCAGAAGAAGCACCGGCUAAACUACGUGCC
rnacentral:rRNA from 1 species